rnacentral:rRNA from 1 species
AUGCCACGCGUCGGGCGUGACGGCGCAGCAGCGGGCCGACCUCUUUGUCGGUGGACUUCCGGAUCACAUCCGCGUGGACGUGGAGCUUCAGGGACCCCAGGAUAUCCAGACGGCCAUGUACUACGCCCGCGCGUUCGAGCGCCGCGCGGUGGCCGUCCAGCAGGAGUCACCGUCCCGGGCCACUGGGUCGCUACCCUGGCCAGAUCCCGCUCCGUGUCGGCCUGUUCAGGCUUCCGCNNNNNNNNNNCAGCCGCGCCGCCCGCGCCGGUCCAGCUCCCACCGCCGCCGCCCAGCUCCGGACUGGGCCAGUCCACACCGGGAGACCUCCCGAUCCAGCAGGUCCGGUUUCCGCCGUCACCGUCCCAGAUCCCGGCCUGGCUAACCGGGACGUCGCCACCGCCAGUUUACACGGAGGCCGGGAACCCACCGGUACCCACGCUGCAGUCUGGGGCCUCGUCCGGCUCCGCGGGGGCCUAUGACGGUCUCCCCACCGUUGACCGGGCGCCGUCAUCAUCACUGCUCCGCACCGCCGAGCCGGUCGGCCAUGGCGCGCCGACCCAGACGCCGCCACGGUUCGCCAAGAUCAACUUCGCCACUUAUGACGGCACGGAGGACCCGCUUAACUGGCUCAACCAGUGUGAGCAGUUUUUCCGUGGACAGCGCACGCUCGCGUCGGAGCGCACUUGGCUGGCAUCCUACCACCUCCGCGGUGCAGCCCAGACCUGGUACUACGCCCUCGAGCAGGACAAGGGCAGCAUGCCCCCUUGGGAGCGCUUCCGCGAGCUCUGCCUCCUUUGUUUUGGGCCCCCGAUCCGCGGGAGCCGCCUGGCGGAGCUAGGCCGCCUUCCCUUCACCUCCACGGUUCAGGACUUCGCCGACCGUUUCCAGGCCCUGGCAUGCCACGGUCGGGCGUGA